AACGCACAUUGCGCCCUCUGGUAUUCCGGAGGGCAUGCCCGUUCGAGCGUCAUUACACCACUCAAGCCUAGCUUGGUAUUGGGCGGCGGGGCCCCCCGCGCCCCCAUUCGAUCGGCUGGACGGUUCGAAUCUCAGCGUUGUGAAUCAGUUCGCUCGUGAGGACGAUCGGCCGCGCCGUUAAACCCUUCAUCAACAGGUUGACCUCGGAUCGGGUAGGGAUACCCGCUGAACUUAA
rnacentral:misc_RNA from 1 species